rnacentral:lncRNA from 1 species
AAUUGUACAAGCAGCCUCUACAUUUCAAAAACAGAAUCCAUUGAUAAGAGUCCAUUUUAAAGAAACGUCUCCAGGCUUGGGGCAUGAGAUCAUGCCUGUCAAAUAAUUUGUCAGUCUCCAGAUUAGUAAUGGGUGACUUGGCACCCUGGCUGAUGAGCUGGCAAGAGAGAAGCUAUCGUGUGUCAUAUCAGAGACCGCCACAGACACCCAGGGCAAUGUGAUUUGUCACUUGAAGGAGGAGACAGCCUGAGAGCGCCCCAUCCUCCGGCUGCUGAGUCACCCCGCUCCGGUAGUUAUUUAAACAGAAGCCUCCAGCAUACACGCGAUCAACACUCCACUGAGACAAUGGCCAGACCUCCAGAAGUCAUGUCCAGCUCGGACUGCCCACAAGUGCAGUUUUCAAAAAUGCUUGGGGCCUCUUUUCCCCAUAUUCUCACACUGGGGUUCAGACAUCUGGCUCUUUUCCUCAAAACUGGCCUAUCCAGCCAGUCGUCCUUUGAGAAUUCCGGCCACAGAGGCCAUCAACUCCUACUGGAAGUUUUCCUGUGGUCCUUCCGAUCAGACUUUCUUAUAUUUCUUUGAAGUCAACAAAUAUUGGUUGAGCAUCUGUUAUGGGUUAGGGAUGGAGCUACAGGUAAGGGCUGGUUCAAAAACGAGACACACUGCUUGUCUUUUAGGAGCUCACAGUCCAGGGAAAGGGACAGUCAGGAAACCAGGAAACCAGGCAACCACCAUAUAUAUACAAAGGGAUGGCUCUAAGGUGCUGUUGAUGAAAGUGCUAAAGGAGCUGGAUGGGACUGACGUCUUUGGGAAGGGUAAAACUCAGCGUGCGCAUGCAGCUGUCCUGUCCAAGUGCUGUUCUUACCUCCCAAUGGAAAGCUGA